rnacentral:rRNA from 1 species
GGCUCAGAACGAACGCUGGCGGCGUGCCUAACACAUGCAAGUCGAGCGAGAAAGCCCGCAAGGGUGAGUAAAGCGGCGCACGGGUGAGUAACACGUGGGUAAUCUGCCCUAGAGUCCGGAAUAACUCGCCGAAAGGCGUGCUAAUGCCGGAUGAGACCACGGGAGCCUCGGCUCCUGCGGGAAAAGGUGGCCUCUGUACACAAGCUAUCACUCUAGGAUGAGCCCGCGGCCCAUCAGCUCGUUGGCGGGGUAAUGGCCCACCAAGGCUACGACGGGUAGCUGGUCUGAGAGGACGAUCAGCCACACUGGAACUGAGACACGGUCCAGACUCCUACGGGAGGCAGCAGUGGGGAAUCUUGCGCAAUGGGCGAAAGCCUGACGCAGCAACGCCGCGUGUGUGAUGAAGGUCUUCGGAUCGUAAAGCACUGUCGCGAGGGACGAAUAAGGGGCGGGCUAACAUCCCGUUCCGAUGACGGUACCUCGAGAGGAAGCACCGGCUAACUCUGUGCCAGCAGCCGCGGUAAUACAGAGGGUGCAAGCGUUGUUCGGAAUUAUUGGGCGUAAAGCGCGUGUAGGCGGCCUUGCAAGUUGGGUGUGAAAGCCCUCGGCUUAACCGAGGAAGUGCGCCCAAAACUACGAGGCUUGAGUGCCGGAGAGGGUGGCGGAAUUCCCGGUGUAGAGGUGAAAUUCGUAGAUAUCGGGAGGAACACCAGUGGCGAAGGCGGCCACCUGGACGGUAACUGACGCUGAGACGCGAAAGCGUGGGGAGCAAACAGGAUUAGAUACCCUGGUAGUCCACGCUGUAAACGAUGAGCGCUAGGUGUUGUGGGUGUUGACCCCCGCAGUGCCGCAGCUAACGCAUUAAGCGCU